CUAUCGUCGCCUAGAAACGUAACCUUUUUCGAAGUCACUUUCGAGUAGAAGUCAGGCAUUGCACUUUGUGAUAUAAAUGUCCAGACAACGUAAGUUUCAUUACUUCUUAAGAAACAAACUUUUAAUAACAUUUAAAUAUAAUUUUAUACAAUUUUGGUCAACGAAAAACAGUUGUAUGUAGUUAAUUGUUUUUUAUUUUUUUAUUGUAUUUUUUUUUUUAUCAAGUUUUAACUAUGCAUGCUUCUUUCUAGACCGAUGAUCAAUUUAGCUGAAUAAACUUCUGGUUUAUAACUAAUAAACUUGUACAAGUUACUUUACAAAUUACUUUUAUUAUAUCACGGUACUGAAGCCGUUUUCGACAUCAACUCAGAUAUUUCAAGCGAGAAGGUUAAUAAUUUCUAAAAGAAGUUAUGAACCGUCAUUGUGUCAGCUAUCGCACAAUGGCAUACAGUGUCAUCAUCAAUUAAUGAAAUUAAACACAAAAUGUUGUCUUAAAACAAACUAGAGGCUCUCAAGAGCCUGUGUCGAUCACCUUGGUCUAUGUGCAUAUUAAACAAUGGACACAGAUAAAUUCAUGACAUAAUUGUGUUUUGGUGAUGGUGAUGUGUUUGUAGAUCUUACUUUACUGAACAUUCUUGUUGCUACAAUUAUCUCUAUCUAUAAUGAACUUGGCCCAGUAAUUACAGUGGAAAAUAUUUUCUAAAAAUUUACAAAAAAUUAUGAAAAAUGCUAAAAAUUAACUAUAAAGGGCAAUAACUCCUUAAGGGGUCAAUUGACUAUUUUGGUCAUGAAACUUAUUUGUAGAUCUUGUUUUGCUGAACAUAAUUGUUGUUCACAGUUUAUCUCUAUCUAUAAUAAUAUUCAAGAUAAUACAAAAACAGCAAAAUUUUCCUUAAAAUUACCAAUUCAGGGCAGUAACCUAACAACGGGUUGUCCGAUCCAUGUUAAAAUAUCAGGGCAGAUAGAUCUUGACCUGGUAGACAAUUUAACCCUGUCAGAUUUUCUCUAAAUGCUUUGGUUUUUGAGUUAUAAGCCAAAAACUGCAUUUUACCCCUAUGUUCUAUUUUUAGCCGUGGCAGCCAUUUUAGUUGGACACCGGACAUAUUUUUUUAAAUUAGAUACCCCAAAGAUGAUUGUGGCCAAGUUUGGAUUAAUUUGGCCCAGUAGUUUCAGAGGAGAAGAUUUUUGUAAAAGAUUUCUAAGAUUUACGAAAAAUGGUUAAAAAUUGACUAUAAAGGUCAAUAACUCCUAAAGGCGUCAACUGACCAUUUUGGUCAUGUGGACUUAUUUGUAAAUCUAACUUUGCUGAACAUUAUUGCUGUUUACAGUUUAUCUCUAUCUAUAAUAAUCUUCAAGAUAAUAACCAAAAACAGCAAAAAAUCCCUAAAAUUACCAAUUCAGGGGCAGCAACCCAACAACGGGUUGUCGGAUUCAUCUGAAAAUUUGAGGGCAGAAAGAUCUUGACCUGAUAAACAAUUUUACCCCUGUCAGAUUUGCUCUAAAUGCUUUGGUUUUUGAGUUAUAAGCCAAAAACUGCAUUUUACCCCUAUGUUCUAUUUUUAGCCAUGGCGGCCAUUUUGGUUGGUUGGUCGGGUCACGCCACACAUUUUUAAACUAGAUACCCCAAUGAUGAUUGUGGCCAAGUUUGGUUUAAUUUGGCCCAGUAGUUUCAGAGGAAAAGAUUUUUGUAAAAGUUAACGACGACGACGACGGACGACGGACGCCAAGUGAUGGGAAAAGCUCACUUGGCCCUUCGGGCCAGGUGAGCUAAAAAUCAAUUUCAAGAAACAUGAUCAGUAAAGAAGUCAAGACAAAGAGUGCAUGCUUUCUUUUAUUAUUACUUUUAGUCCUUCCACUAUUCUAAAUUGCUCAUUGGUUUUCAAUUAAUGAAUAUAUACUUCUAAUUUAUACUUUCAGAAUAAAGAAAUGGACACAUUAUUGUGUCCAGUAAUAAGUUGGGUUGUUGAAUUGUGUGUUAGCGCGGGAAAAGGAGAAGAUGGCAAAUAAAUCUGAUAGAAACUUGAAUAAAUCAACCAGUUCAGAGAGACAGUUAAAAGGAAUAUUGAAAUUUCGUCUUCGGAAAAAUAAAAACCACGGAAUGAAGCGACUAAAAGACAGAAUAAAAACAUUUUAUUCUAAGCGUAAUAGACAAAAUCAUAGAUCUUCAAAAUCAAACAGUGGCAAGAAAUCUAAAAAGAAAGAGAAAAAGAUUAAAACAAAAAAAAGCAAAGGAGGCGAUGAAUUUGACGACAUUUGUCUACCGAGAAUAACAACAAAAGGAUUUUUAGAGGAAGAAGCUGAGCUGUUUGACACCAAAAAAUCAGUGACAUUUAGAGUACCUCUAAAAAGAUACAAAAAAGCCAAAAUACCGAACAUUUAUUAAAUUUCAAGCAUUUACUUUUGGUCAAAAAUUGUAAGUGCUCAAAAUUGCAGUAUAAACGUUGUAAAAAUUAUAAAACUCAGAUUAUGUGUCAAAUAAAGCAUUUUAUCCUA
rnacentral:lncRNA from 1 species